rnacentral:rRNA from 1 species
UCCAAUAGCGUAUAUUAAAGUUGUUGCAGUUAAAAAGCUCGUAGUCGGAUUUCGGGUCGUGGCCGUCGGUCUGCCAUUGGGUACGCACUGGCGGCUGCUUCCUUUCUGCGCGCGUGUGCUUUCGGGGAUGCGCGCGCACGUUUACUUUGAGAAAAUCAGAGUGUUCAAAGCAGGCCAUUGCCAUUGUAUGUGUUAGCAUGGGAUAAUGGAAUAGGACCUUGGUGCUAUUUUGUUGGUUUCGAACGCCGAGGUAAUGAUUAAUAGGGACAGUCAGGGGCACUCGUAUUCCGUAGAGAGAGGUGAAAUUUUUUAGACCCACGGAAGACGAACUACUGCGAAAGCAUUUGCCAGGGAUGUUUUCACUGAUCAAGAACGAAAGUUAGGGGAUCGAAGAUGAUCAGAUACCGUCGUAGUCUUAACCAUAAACCAUGCCGACCAGGGAUUGGUGGGUGUCGUCUUUUGACCCCAUCAGCACCUUUCGAGAAAUCAGAGUCUUUGGGUUCCGGGGG